CGUUGGUGUGGCGUUCCCUGCAGAGUUUAAAAGGAAGGGAAGAAGAGUUUACAAGCCCCGUGGGGCCAGGGACCACGUCUAUCUUGGUCUCCUCCAUAGCCAUAGUUCUCACUACAAUGUCCAGCAUUUAGUGAUGUAAUAUUUAUUAAACAUAGGUGCCUUACCCAGCAAGGAGAGGACUACAAACAUGUCACAGAGUAUCAAGAAGGGGCCCGGGCGAGUGUUCCGGAUUACCACAAAGACCUCAGUGUGCCGUGAGUUAAGAUGGAGCCUGCAUUUUCAACAUUUGCAACAGAUGGAAGAGAGCUUGUGUGGCCAACAGGCCGGAGGCACACGGCACAGGGAGCCGGGCUGUGCCUUCGAUUCGUCGUGUCUGUUAGGAGCGGCCUUCUCCCCCUCCGGCUGAUUUCGGGCAUGUGGGAAUACUGCAAGGCAUGGCCAGACCUUCUGAUUUUAAAAGGUAAGACAAGGAUCCUACAUUUCUUCUGAGAAAUUUCCUGAUCUUUAAAUGUUGGCAACGCAUUUUUAAAAAAGGCAAUAUCCCUGCGCUGACCAAACGAAACACAUCUGUGGGCAACCAGUUUGCGACCUCAGAGUGCCUUCUCUGAGUCAAAGGUUCCAUUAGGAGUCAUUCAAAAUGAGUCCUAUUCAAAGUAACCUAAGAAAUACACCCAAUUUCCUGGGUUCGCUUCCUAUCAUUGUGAUUCCGUGGGAUAUCAGGGCAACAGGGAAAACGUUAUUACAUACUUUUUAAAAAGGAUAAUUUAAAUAUCUCGGGCUCUAGCUUAUGUGCUUCCAGGUUUUAAUAUAAUAAUCAUUCUUGGUACA